AGUGAACGCUGGCGGUAGGCCUAACACAUGCAAGUCGAACGGCAGCACAGUAAGAGCUUGCUCUUACGGGUGGCGAGUGGCGGACGGGUGGGGAAUACAUCGGAAUCUACUUUUUCGUGGGGGAUAACGUAGGGAAACUUACGCUAAUACCGCAGACGACCUACGGGUGAAAGCAGUGGAUCUUCGGACCUUGCGCGAUUGAAUGCGCCGAUGUCGGAUUAGCUAGUUGGCGGGGUAAAGGCCCACCAAGGCGACGAUCCGUAGCUGGUCUGAGAGGAUGAUCAGCCACACUGGAACUGAGACACGGUCCAGACUCCUACGGGAGGCAGCAGUGGGGAAUAUUGGACAAUGGGCGCAAGCCUGAUCCAGCCAUACCGCGUGGGUGAAGAAGGCCUUCGGGUUGUAAAGCCCUUUUGUUGGGAAAGAAAAGCAGCAGGUUAAUACCCCGCUGUUCUGACGGUACCCAAAGAAUAAGCACCGGCUAACUUCGUG
rnacentral:rRNA from 1 species